GGAGAGAUGGCCGAGUGGUCGAAGGCGCACGCCUGGAAAGUGUGUAAACGCCGAAAGCGUUUCAAGGGUUCGAAUCCCUUUCUCUCCGCCA
rnacentral:tRNA from 1 species